UACGUAGGGUGCAAGCGUUAAUCGGAAUUACUGGGCGUAAAGCGUGCGCAGGCGGUUAUGUAAGACAGGUGUGAAAUCCCCGGGCUUAACCUGGGAACUGCAUUUGUGACUGCAUAGCUAGAGUACGGUAGAGGGGGAUGGAAUUCCGCGUGUAGCAGUGAAAUGCGUAGAUAUGCGGAGGAACACCGAUGGCGAAGGCAAUCCCCUGGACCUGUACUGACGCUGAGGAGCGAAAGCGUGGGGAGCGAACAGG
rnacentral:rRNA from 1 species